UCAGCACAGCAAAAAUCAAACACAAUCCAAUUCAAUUUCCAAUGCCUUGACCCAAGCAAGCAAACCAAGAAUAGUGUGUGUGAGAGUGUGUGUGUGUAUAUAAGUCUGUUCACAGUUCACAGUUCAGUCCACUUGACAAAGAGGCUGUUUAAGUUUUUCUGGUAAACCUGUGUCUUGUAAACUUAGCUCAGUUCAAUCCAGUUUUACGAAUUAGCAAAAUAAAGUCAGUACUGAUGGUACCGUAGACCUGUUAGUCAGUCAAGCAGUCAGUUUCUGUUUCACUGACCAAGUGACACUGGCAGCUCUGACCCAUAGUAAUACACAUUAAUACAGCACAGGUAAUUUGGGGGUUUGUGAUUGGAUUAGUAAAUGACUGUGUGGGCAAUGACGUAAUUCUGAUAUCCAGGAAUCCAUGAGUGGUCGCCACACUCCACUUCCCUUGUGAGCCAUUGUGUGGUUCCAUUUUUGGAGGGGUGUUGUCAUUCAAUAACCUGACAUGCCAGAUGGUUUGUUACACAGAACCAUCUGAGAGGUCGUCCUUGGAAACUGUUUGGAAAAGGGCACAAAAGUUCUUGGCAGAUGAUUGGAUGAACCAUCUGUUUAUCACUAUCUAUCACAGGCUAACUUCAACCAAUCAGAUCAACGAGCCAUAUGACGUAGUAGGAGAGCGCCGAAGAGGAAACACAACAACAAGCCGCAGUCUGAGGAACUUUGAAAGCUAGCAAGCAAGACAGUGUGGCUAGCUAUGUAGUUAUACAAAUACUACACAGCUCUGAUAUAACUGAUGUUAUAGCAGCAUCUACACUAAUCUCUUUUGGAGCUGCCAUUGUUGUUUUUGAACGAACAGUCACUUCUCGCAGUCAUCACACCUAAACCACAGCCGUAGCUGCCAGUAGCUCCUCAUUAGAUGCUGAUUUAUCUGAACCACUGUGGUUUGGCCACAAGCGCAUAACUUGAAGCCUAACAAGAUGGAUUCUCGUGUGAUCUGGCAAAUCCAGCUACCUCACAAGGUGCAGGGAUAUGCAGGGAGUCCAGGGUUAGAGGGUCAGGACAUCUGUGGUGCCAUGUUUCAGAAGCAGUUUGACUUUUUUCAAGAGGGGUGUCAAAGUCAUGUCUAGUGGAUCCAACCAGAUGAUGUCAGAAUCCUCUUGAUGUCACCAUCAGUGUCAACUUGAAAGCAAGAGAAGAACAGAAGGUGUGAAGGGCUUUGCAAGUGAAUCAGGAGGGAUGAAGGUGAGCUGCAGGGGGAGAAACUACAAUUUGACAGAUAUGCUUGUCAAGGCCAGUAUAAUAUCUGUAAAGUAGAGAAGUAAAAAUCCUCUGCGAAGUGUUAUAAUUCAGUCCGGUGGUGGACAAACAAAGGUUAUAAUGUUAAAGGAUCCUUCAUGAAAAAAAUGGUUUUCUACACACUAAAUUUUGGUUUAGAUCCACUUCAAAAUAAUGCAUUUUUGCAAGUACUGGAAGAACAAAAAGUACAUUUCAAUUUAACUGAAGCUAGAUUGCUGAUAUUUUUUUGCUGAUGUAGUUUUUAGUAUGACCAUGUUAGAUUCAUUUUUAAACCAAAGAGUCAUAUAUACAGUAUGUAUGUACAGUAUAUACUGUAUAUAUAUGAUGGAUGUCCCAAUCAAGUUUUUCAGGCCCUGAUCUGAGUCCUUUAAUAUUGGGUAUCUGCUGAUACCAAGUCCUAUCUGAUACUUAUAUCAGCAGAAGAUAUGCAAUGUUGAUUUAACAUAUAUCUGUCACAAUGAAAUAACAUGUGUAGUCAUCUGACUUUGGCUCACAAGCUACUUAAUCCAAAUACUGACAGUCCUGGUUGAAAACUAUUAAAUUGAUCAACUUGAGUGAUUGAUCUGAUCUGAAGUUUAAGUUUUGUCUGUCAUCAAGUUACUGAUGGAAAUAGUGUUAAUUUGUGACUACUGAUAUUAUUUUCCACCUGCAACGUCUGUUAUUUUCAUGAUGAAAGUGAUGGUCUACGCUGGUUGAACAUGACAAGCUGCCAGCUGAAUGUUUUGUACACUGCUGCUCUUUACUUAUGUGAGGUACUUUAGAAGUAUUUCAUUUUCAUGAAUGACAACCAUGUGUCAUCAUCUCUAAUCCUUAUCUAACCCUAACCCAUUUACAAUGUUCUAUGGAUCCCACAAUCCACUGAUUUUGCUAUAUAUUUGAACUGUGUAGUUGUGUUUGUUUUUAAAAUGACAGCAUUUUUUGA